CUAGCUGAAGCCAAGAGCAGCUGUGGAGACGAAACGUUUAUGCCCUAGAAGAGACCCUUCACAGACCUCUAAAAGGAUCUUUGUUGGCUGGGGCAAGCCGAGGGGGAGGCAAGGAGGGUGACGCCAAGCCUCAGCUACAGGUCACUUUUACAGGUUGAGUGCUUCCUGUCAUCCAGUGUAGAGUUUCCACUUAACUGUACCCUCAGCAAAACUAAAUCCUCAUGAGGAAUUUGGUGCAGAGAGUGGUUCUGUGGGGACCGUGAUGUAUUACGUCACAAAAAACAGCCACUCCCCAAUAGGGAAUGUGUAAUUAAUAGUUUUUUUGUAGCCAUCCGUCCAACACAAAUGCAUCAUUAAAGGGGAAGAUGGAUAUUGCACUCAACACAAGAUAUGUUCAUCAUUCAUCAGUUCUCACUUCCCUGGACUUCAACCUUGCUACACACAUGGUAUCGUUAUUAAUCGAAACAAAGACAGAUAUCUUUAUAUUUUUGUUCUCUGCAGACAAACAAAAAAUGUUAGCUGUUGCAAAGCAAUUUGGUGAGUUAGCAAAUGAUACUACUCGAGAAGUUAGGCAGAAGGAGUGCUAUACUGGGAUUAUAGAAACUUAUAAGAUGUCUCUUAAACAUUCACAAUGUGCAGAAUGAACUAACUGUUUUAAAAUAGUAUGUGGUAAAUGUUUUUUUUCCAAGGGCGUUUUGACUUGCCUCAGCCACUGUAUGUCUGUUAAACAUGCAAACAGCAAAGGACCCCAGACCUGAAAGACCUUCUGAGGAGUGGAUAUUGGCCAGCUUCAAUAAACAACACCACACUUUACACACUGGACCUCCUGAUCUCCUUUCAAGAACUCAAGGUCAUCUCUCCAAGAUUUUCCAGACAAGCCUUCGCAAAGCUGCUGGAGCAUCGCACGAAGUGUGGAGGAAGAUUUGGAUAUAUCAACGGCAAUGCACUGCAAUGCAGCUUCUUGGAGUUUUCAUACGCUUAAUUUGAAUCAGACCAGCUCUGGUGUGGUGCUCCUUUCACCUGCCCAGCCUGAACGCUAGAAUUGUUGGCUGCUUCAGCAGAUCGAAACAGAAAGCUAUAUCGCUUUUGCCGAAACAGAAGACUGUGGCUUGCAAAUAUUGGCCAUUUGAAGAAAGUUGCUAGUGUCCUUCCUGAUCUUCAGGAGCUGACCUCAAUGAAACCUUUCCUUAAUGUUAUGCAUGCUUGAGCCACACAAAAAAGUUUGAGAUUAAAUGAAGUGGUAGGAACCAGGAAGGAACAGGGACAACCACCGGUGAGUGGAGCAAGUGAACAGCUACCUUUCACGUUGUGCCCGUACAACCAAAUAUAUGUCCAAAGCAGGGGUGGACAUGCUUACAUUGCAUGCAAUGGGCUGGAACCAUAAAAAAGUAUCUCUCUACAUCAGGCACUUUCCACAAUAUAUGUGAAAACAUCCAGCACGAGACUGCAAGGCUAGCAGAACUAAAAACAAAGCUACAUCCCACAGAUAAAGGAACGUCACAAUGGCUUUCUGAUGUGAAAGAAUGGGUAGCUCGUGAGACAUCAGAAACAUCUCAUGCCAGUCAAGGCACCACACACAGAAAACUUCAGCAGUCAAUUGAGGGGCUUUAUCUUAGUGUGAUGCUGCGCAAGCAGACUCUCUACUGUCAGAAUGACAACAGCAAGCUUUGCCACCGCCUUCAAAGGAAGCUGGCAGAUGACAAAAGCUCCUUCUUCAGGAGAUACAGAAAUACAAUGAUCUUGUACUAGACUCUGCCACAAACAUCAUUGACCUAGCUUUGGUGGAGCAUUCCCUCACUGGAGAGAGCAGUGUGUCUCAGAUAUGACCGUGGGACCUUCAUGGCAGUGCAAACAUUUCAGUCAAGAAACGAUUGCAUGACCAAGUGAUGUUGACAAUGGGACUGCACGAGGAAAGGGGCAUUGUGGUGUUGGAGAUGGCUCAACAAUACACAUGGUUGCAGAGCCUGGCAGUGGCUCUCAAGAACAAGAUGGCUGAGGAGGACAAGGGAAAUGAAGGACUUUGCUGUCUCUUAAGAAGAAGAUCGUCAGUGGUGUCAGAAGGGUUACAAGUCGUCCUUCAACAAUACAAGACUGCAUUAGGUCUUGAGGCCUCUGUCCUUCUACAUGUUGAAGAAGAAGAUCAAAGUGACCUCAGCAGUCCAGAUACCAGCGAGGAUGAAGAGGAAAACAUAAUUUAGAUAGAAACUGCACAAAGGACUGCGUUUAAGGAAAUGGACUUGGCAUAUAUCUGUGUAGUGUUAGUAUGCUAACUACAUUAUUAUCUGUAUGCAUCCUAUAUUGUUAAAAUGUUCAACCUGUGUCUAGAUUAUCAAGCAUGUUAUUUAGCACGUUGAUGCUCCUUAAAUAUGCACAAACAUAUCAAUAUAGGUGUAACAAUCGUAUGAUAUUAUCAGAUG